UGACCGCAUACUCCAAUACAUUUCUUCUUGUCGCCAAAGGGCUUCUAUUUGUGCAAUCACAUUUUUGUACUCCUCUUUGUCAUGGUGCUCUUCCUCCUUAUUUGUCAUCUCCGUUAGUCUAUGCUUGAGUGUAUCUAUUUGUCGGAUUGCAUUGUGGAACUUUCCUUGACUCCAUUUGGCUAGAGUAGCUGUAAUUUUUUGCACUUUUCCUGUAAAACUUACUUGAUCAGUGCUGUUUUUCCCCCAAGCCUUUUGAAUGACAUUUUCGCAUUCCUUUUCUUCAAGCCAGUAUGCUUCAAAUCUGAAUUCUUUCUUUCUUCUUAUAGUGUUUGGCUCCAAGGCAAGUAGCAAGGGGCUGUGAUCACAGCCAAUCGCUGGUAAAUCAAGGACCUCUACGUUUGGAAAUUGUACUCUCCAUGCCCAAUUGCAUAGGGCUCUAUCAAGCCUUUUCUUCACCAGGUGAUCAGCCCCUUUGUCCUCCAUAGCCGAGGGAAGCAGCAAGAGCUGGGUUUGCUGAGGUCUCUUCCCCUUAUUUGGGGAAACAUGACAAUCCAUCCAUACCUCAUCUCCUUGGUCAUUUGCUGGGAUAGUGGGUAAAAUUAUGGCUAAGGCUUUUGGUUGAGCAGCAAAAGGUUCUGAUCGGGAUACUUUAUCAGUGGAUGGCAUGGGGGUUUCAGGCACCAUUUCCUCCUCUUCAGGUGGGUGUUCAAUUUGCCCAUAGAAGGUUUUCCAACAAGGGCUAGAUUCGCUGACUUCUGCUUUCAACCAAGACCCAUAUUUUCCAGGCUUGUCUUGAGCCAAUCCCAUUUCUUCAUAAGGUAUUUCAGGG